rnacentral:rRNA from 1 species
GAUGAACGCUGGCGGCGUGCUUAACACAUGCAAGUCGAACGAAGCAUUUAGGACAGAUUACUUCGGUUUGAAGUUCUUUAUGACUGAGUGGCGGACGGGUGAGUAACGCGUGGGUAACCUGCCUUGUACUGGGGGAUAGCAGCUGGAAACGGCUGGUAAUACCGCAUAAGCGCACAAUGUUGGAUGACAUGGUGUGAAAAACUCCGGUGGUAUAAGAUGGACCCGCGUCUGAUUAGCUAGUUGGUGAGAUAACAGCCCACCAAGGCGACGAUCAGUAGCCGACCUGAGAGGGUGACCGGCCACAUUGGGACUGAGACACGGCCCAGACUCCUACGGGAGGCAGCAGUGGGGAAUAUUGCACAAUGGAGGAAACUCUGAUGCAGCGACGCCGCGUGAGUGAAGAAGUAAUUCGUUAUGUAAAGCUCUAUCAGCAGGGAAGAUAGUGACGGUACCUGACUAAGAAGCUCCGGCUAAAUACGUG